rnacentral:rRNA from 1 species
CCUACGGGGUGCUGCAGUGGGGAAUAUUGGACAAUGGGCGAAAGCCUGAUCCAGCCAUGCCGCGUGUGUGAAGAAAGCCUUCGGGUUGUAAAGCACUUUCAGUGGGGAAGAAAGCCUUGGGGCUAAUACCCUCGAGGAAGGACAUCACCCACAGAAGAAGCACCGGCUAACUCCGUGCCAGCAGCCGCGGUAAUACGGAGGGUGCGAGCGUUAAUCGGAAUUACUGGGCGUAAAGCGCGCGUAGGCGGUCUGAUAAGCCGGUUGUGAAAGCCCCGGGCUCAACCUGGGAACGGCAUCCGGAACUGUCAGGCUAGAGUGCAGGAGAGGAAGGUAGAAUUCCCGGUGUAGCAGUGAAAUGCGUAGAGAUCGGGAGGAAUACCAGUGGCGAAGGCGGCCUUCUGGACUGACACUGACGCUGAGGUGCGAAAGCGUGGGUAGCAAACAGGAUUAGAUACCCUUGUAGUC